rnacentral:ncRNA from 1 species
AGAUGAGUGAGACAGCCCGUUCCCGGGAGACCGGGGACGAUCCCGGCACCGGGCUUCCCCAGCGCCGUACCGGGCAUGCGUUCGCGCACCCUCCUCACCGAUCGGA